ACCCCCACCCUUUCUCUGUCUCCAACUCUCUCUCUUUUAUUUUCUUAUUUUUCUUUCUUCCUCUUUUUCUUUUUCCAUUUUCUUCCUUUCUCUUUCUUUCCCAUACUCAUUCUUCUUACUGUUACAUCUCCCAAAGCCUGACCUCCCAGAGGCUGACCUCCUCCUUAACAGUCUGCUAUUAACCAAAAUGCCACAUAGCCACACUAUUCUUCCUUUGCCUCAAUUAUUUCCACCCCUAUGUAUGUCCCUGUCCUCUACUUCCCACAUAACCUAAUACUCAUCACUGGUCUCACGGUGGUUGUUUACCUCUUCUUCUUCGCUUUUCCUUUGCAUUUAUACUAACAUAUUACUAUAUGCAGUAUCAUUAGGGUCCCUUUACUCCCCAACUAAUCAGUACCUACCAAGAGUUUGCUUUGAAGUCCCUGCUACUCUAUUAUCAGAGUGGGUUAACUACUGGGUUGUGAUGGUUGCUGCAGACACUACUCAUCCCAUAGGGGCAGAAUGAAGAUAAAGCCAGAUACCUGGAACUCCAGUCUAAGGGGCUGAAAUAUCAUCACAACUAUAUUACACCCCGGUCUCUCUUGAGCACUGAAAAUUAAUCCACCAAAAGAAAAGAGGCAACCUGAAUUAAAAGAACAAAACCAACAAGUCUUAACUAAUGAUCUAACCUCAGAUGGGCAGAUUCUAGUGUAAAGACACAGUAACAUGAAAAAAAAAAAGACAAUCAUCUCCUCCAAAAUUUAUAAAGCCCAUACUAAUGACCCCUGAUAAAAAAAUUACAUAGAUAAAAUUCCAGAGGCAUGUGUUGCUAUUCUAACAUAUGACAAAAUAGACUUCAAGCCAAUUCUUUUAUUAUUAUUAUUAUUAUUAUUAGUUUUAUUUCAUAUUUUUCAUAUAAUACAUUUUGAUCAUGAUUUCCCUUCCCCUAAGAAAUAAUAGUCCUUCCUUUACCCAUAGCAUGAUAUUUGUAUUUUAUUCCUCUCCAAAGGGAAGGGUGCAUUAUGUACCGGUGAUAGACUUAACUGUUGAAAGAUUGGCCAUACACUAGCAGAAUGUUAUCUUACAUUUAAAGGGGGUUCUGUCAACAGAGGAGGGAGCCUAAAUUGAGAUGGGCAGUAGGGUUUAGUUAUGCUCUCUCAUAUCAUAAUUAUUACAUAAUUAUUUACUUCUCACUAAAAACAAAUCUGACCAUGUAGACUUGCUGAGCUACGUGGUCAUCAGUGGAAAGGGACCAUAGCAGAAAAUAUUGCUUGACAUAGCAGGAGGCAGAGUACAUGCUGUUCAAAGUUCUUAUCCACGUGCUUGCCCUCAGCUAAAGCAAUGAUAGCUGGUAAGGACUGAGAUGUGAUAAACUCUAUGGCCCUGAAAAUGCCACUGUAGUAAAACUUUACCCAGAAAGCUUAAAUGCCAAGAAUAUUGACCUAGCAUCCUUCAGACUGAGCCUCAAAGUAUGAACCACAUCAGAGCCCACAUCAGAACCUAAAGAGCCUUAAAGGAUGUGGCAUCUGAGUCUUAUCCAGGUGAGUUAAUCCAUUUUGAGCAAGUCCCAGGAUUCUAUAAUGUUGCUUUGUAACUAAAGUUUGAGAAACACCAUUCCAGUUACUGAUGAUGCUUCCAUAAUUAAAACUUUUCAAACCUGGUAAGUAGCUGUAAAGCAUACUGUAUACGGAUACCAUAAGUACAGUGAUUGGUUCCAGAACAGCUUCUCUCACCAGACUCAAGGAUACCAGAAUCUCCAGAUAAUCAAGCUCCUGCAUAAAAUGUUGUCAUGUUUGAAUUUAUACUUCCACACAUUCUCCUGUAUCCUUUAAAUCAUUCGUUUAAUAUUUCAUUCCUGCUGCGGUGACAAAACACCAUGACUUAUGGAAGAAACUUGUAGAAGGAGUUUAUUCUGGCUUACCUUCCAGAGGGCUGAGACCGUCAUAUGGGCAGGAGACAUGACAGCAAGUGGCAGGCAAGGCAGCAGGAACAGGAAGUGGAGAGAUGACUUCAACACAAACGUGAAGCCGGAAGAGUGAGCUGGAAGUGGGACGAGGCUAUAUAAACUCUCAGAGCCCACCCCUAGUGAUGUACUUCCGCCAGCAAAGCUGUACUAUUCCCAAAGCUGCACCUCAGCUGGGGACCAAGGGCCCGAACACCUGAAACUACAGGAGACAUUAUUCAGUCCACCACACUUGUUUGGGAAAUAAUGAGGAAAAAGGAGUCUGUACUGUUCAGUGCAGAAAGGAUCUCACCCCUACAACAGUAGACGAAGGACUCUGAACUGUCUCCAACAUCACAUCUGCUUGCACCCCCAUGCUCCCCACCAUGAUGAUAAUAAACAGAAUCUCUGAAAUUGUAGAACUCUCUGAAAGGAUCUGGGUCACAAGUAAGUGAACUGUUCAAGACCACAUGACAGCACCCCUCUGAAAUGAAGCAAGAGGAAGCUGAUUCACUCUCCUUGUGGUUUGAUGUACAGAAUUGCCUCAUUUUCCCAGCAAUGGUAUUUGUUGUUGUUGUUUUACCCCAACUUGCUCAUGUAGUAGAAAUCUUUUCAGUUGGUUUGACUGUUCCAAUUUUAAAGCUACAAGUGUUGUGUUUAUGAUGGUUGCUGCUGCUAUUUAUAUUGUGCUGUUCUUCGAUAAAACUACAGUUUAUUGGGGAAUAUAGUAUUAAUGGAUAAAAAUCACCCACUUCUUACUAAAUUAUGACUUCAAACAGUGGUAAUAUUUUAAUCUGUUGUUAUUAAGUAAGCUUCAUUUAGAAAUUAUUUUAAGACAAACACAGACAUGUAAAAAAUGCAUGAUCAUACUUACAUAUAGAGUCUAAAAACACUUAACUGGAAGUACAAGGGCUGGCCGGGGGAAGAAGAUGGGAAGCUGUUGACCAACAGGCAGAAUUUCAGACAGGAUCAGAUGUUGCAAAGAAUUGUGACUAUGGUCAGCAAUACUCUAUUUCAAAAUAAGUAAGAGUAAAUUUCAAAUGGCUCACUGUAAGAAAUAUAGGGAAGUGAGUUAUAAUUUUAUUAACUGAUUUAAUCAUUCUAUAUUGUGUAUGUCCAUGAAGAGUCAUUAUACUCCAUAAAUGUAUAUAGGUAUGAAAUGUCAAUAAAAUAAUGGAAAAUAAA